CCUACGGGUGGCAGCAGUGAGGAAUAUUGGUCAAUGGGCGCGAGCCUGAACCAGCCAAGUCGCGUGAGGGAUGAAGGUUCUAUGGAUCGUAAACCUCUUUUAUAAGGGAAUAAAGUGCAGUAUGUAUACUGCUUUGCAUGUACCUUAUGAAUAAGGAUCGGCUAACUCCGUGCCAGCAGCCGCGGUAAUACGGAGGAUCCGAGCGUUAUCCGGAUUUGUUGGGUUUAAAGGGAGCGUAGGCGGGUUGUUAAGUCAGUUGUGAAAGUUUGCGGCUCAACCGUAAAAUUGCAGUUGAUACUGGCAUCCAUGAGUACAGUAGAGGUAGGCGGAAUUCGUGGUGUAGCGGUGAAAUGCUUAGAUAUCACGAAGAACUCCGAUUGCGAAGGCAGCCUGCUGGACUGUAACUGACGCUGAUGCUCGAAAGUGUGGGUAUCAAACAGGAUUAGAUACCGUGUAGUC
rnacentral:rRNA from 1 species